rnacentral:lncRNA from 1 species
GAGGCCUCCAAAAUUCCAUCUUGUCUCUAGAUUAUUCCUCGUUUCUCUGCCUGACUUCCAUGUACUGCUUUCUUUUUUGCAGUUUCAUGACAACAACCGUAAGAUCUAACUUAUCAAUACUUUGGAAAGUAUGUGUUUGGAAAGUAUUUAUACAGAAUUGGAAUUCAUGAUCUAAAUUCUAAAGUCUUCACCUUUUAUAAGGUGAAUAGAACUUGUUGAAAAUUUCACAACAAAACAUUCUUUUAUUCGGCAAGGAGAGAGAGGAAUAGACCAUGUACUCAUUUAUUCUCAUCCCAUCUACAAUUUUUCCCCCUCUUAUUAUUUAAUUUGAGUUUCUAACUACAAGAGGCAAAAUGCUUUUCUUUUCCCUUCUAAGCCACACCCUGAAUCUAUGUUUGCUUAGAAAGUUGAUGCCAGGACAUCUUCAUCAUUCUCAUUGCUUCACUGUCAUACCUCCUGAUAUGAAAGUUUUGUCCUAUAUCCUUCUUCGAGAUGUAUCUGACGUCUUAAGCUGGUUAUUAAGCUCCAUCAUUUUGGCAAUUCUUCAUAUUACAUCCUUUAUACAACAUUAUUUUUCUUUACUUUUGAUAUUUAUUUAUUUAUUGUCUAAUUAAUGCUAGUCAAAGCACAAAUUUCUUUGUUCUUGUGACAUUUUUGGAUAAUUUUGUGGAACUGUCUUCUUCAAUUCAAAUCCCUUCAAAUCAGAACUAAUGUAAUUAUUAUUAUUAUUUUUUGAUGUCAUGCAUGACCAGUGCAGUGUUUCUCUAUGGAGUCUCUACAUAAACUUACAAUUCUCUAAUUGAGAGCUUGAUAGCUUUAAUUCGUUUAAAUCCUAGGAACCUCAUAUUACUGAAAGUUUUUAGCUAAUCCUCUCACUGCCAAAUCACACUUUAUGAUAGUCCCGUAAGAUAUCAUUGACUCAUAUUGAAUUGAUAUGCAUUGCUAGAGGUCAAUUGCAGUGACUUAACUAGCACAUAUAAAUUCCAAAGUGGUCCAUAAUUAUCUCUGUCCCUCAAAUUUUUUCCAUUUUAUCUUUCAAGUGAUACUGAUUGUACCAAAAACCCUGUAAUUGUUGCUUCGAAAUUCACUGGUUGAGUAACUCAUAUGCGGGCUGUUUUGUUGCUUAAGCUUCAAGGAAUUUAUGGUGGUUCAUUUCAUUUAUUUUAAUAUUGUUUAAAAUUUUAAAUACUUUUCACUUCCAAUCCUGACUACAUUUGGAUCCAAUUCUGCUGGUGCACUA